AUUGAUUGCUUGCAUCGGAAGUUCAGGUGGGAUGAAGCAGAAGAGAAAGAAGUUAGAAGAAUUUUUAAGAAGAAAGCCGGUGAUCACAUGCGAAAUGUGAUGAAUAGAGCAAAGAGAAGUCAAGAAAAGCCGGAUUUUAUUACAGCUGAUAAUUGGGCGAAAAUUAAGAGAACUUGGGAUACCGAAAAGCAUAAGCAAAUCAGUGAAAUAAAUAAGAUGAAUCGAGCUUCUAGUUCUAGUGAAGGGUCUGCCACAUAUGCUGGGGGCUCUAUCAACAUCGGGGAGCAUAGAAAAAGAAUGGCAGAUGCAUUGGGGACGGAACCGACAUUUAUAGCUACAUUUGAACGCACAUUUCAAAAAAAAGAUAAGACAUGGACUGGCAAUCGAGCAAAAGCUAUUAAGG